rnacentral:rRNA from 1 species
CUGAGAGGAUGAUCAGCCCACACUGGAACUGAGACACGGUCCAGACUCCCUACGGGAGGCAGCAGUGGGGAAUAUUGCACAAUGGGCGCAAGCCUGAUGCAGCCAUGCCGCGUGUAUGAAGAAGGCCUUCGGGUUGUAAAGUACUUUCAGUCGUGAGGAAGGCGGCGUCGUUAAUAGCGGCGUCGUUUGACGUUAGCCACAGAAGAAGCACCGGCUAACUCCGUGCCAGCAGCCGCGGUAAUACGGAGGGUGCGAGCGUUAAUCGGAAUUACUGGGCGUAAAGCGCAUGCAGG